CUCUACUAUAUAAAUGUGUGUUUAUUUUCACUGCAGAUAUAUUUUGGCAACUCCUCGAUGGAUUAUACUCUGCUGUAACUCCAUAGACUUGAGAGAGAAGAAAAAUACAAUUAUUGUACAACAAUAUGACCAACAAAGGGAAAACAGAAAUAAAACAAACCUAGCAAAUAGAGGUGUUAGUCUACUGAACAUCAGUCAUCUUAUGGUCAUUUCUUCUUCAGUUUUAAGCAGUGCAGUGAGCAUGUGAUUCACCUGCAUCUUGAAAGACGUGAAAUUGUUACCUUCUGUCAACUCAUCGAGUUCCUUAAUCAAAGCAAUUGUCUCAUUAACCACUAACACCUCCGAAAGAACAACAUCAUAAUGGCCCCGAAAUUUAGAUCCCACAAAUCUCUUAAGUGCAUUGGAAGAGAACUAACAGAAAGUUUUCAUGAAAUAGCACAAUUAGUAAGAAAUGCUGUGUAUCUAUUGUUUCUUAUCAUUCACUUGCUGUUUAAAAUGCUCAUGUUCAUAGCUGUUUCAUUUUUAUUAAUAUGCAAUGCACUUUGGGAUAGAUUUAUUACAGUGUUCUUUGAAUUACUGACCAUUUCUAACUCUUUGUGUAAUUUAAUUUUGACUGUGUUGAAGUUUGGUUUAUCCACAUGCAAUAUUGUUUGGCUUUUACUCCAAAGUGUGAAAAUUAUGGUUAAAGAUGGGUAUUUCCAAGAAUACAUCUUUUGAACAAUCUAAAGUUUUUUUUCUUUCUUUCCAAUAUCACCAAGAGGAUAGCAAAAAAGAAGA